UGCCUAAACCACAAACUCAUAAAAAAAUAAUUAUUAUUUUGUUGAUUUAACGUAUAUCGUAUCGUUUUUCACUUUGUAUAUAUAGCAACGUGAGGUAAUAUGACAAUAAAGUGUUGCAUUAACAGAACUAUCUACCCAACCAUUUAUCAACAUUAUAAUUAUAAUAAAGUUUUUGUUUGAUGCAAAACUAAACCACCAUAGCCACACAAUUGCAUCCAACACAUUGUUCUAUAGUAAUAUGCUCGAUCAAAACUAUUGGGAAAGGUUGAAGUUUCACUAUUGAUCGAUGUUUCAAAUUAUGGAUUGUUCAAACAAAUUUAGAGUUUUAAAAAAU
rnacentral:lncRNA from 1 species